CCGCCCGUCACAUCACGAAAGUGGAUUGUACUAGAAGCUCGCGCGCUAACCCGCAAGGGGGGCAGCGGUCCAAGGUAUGAUUCAUGAUUGGGGUG
rnacentral:rRNA from 1 species